GUCUGUUUGGAGUUAUAAAGAGUUUAACCUGCCCCCUGAUGAAUAAUUUAAAGGGCCGCGGUAUUAUGACCGUGCAAAGGUAGCAUAAUCAUUAGGUUUUUAAUUGAAAUCUUGUAUGAAUGGUUGGACAAAAGAAAUUCUGUCUUUAAAAUUAAUUUUGAAUUUAACUUUUAAGUGAAAAGGCUUAAAUAUUCUAAAGGGACGAUAAGACCCUAUAAAACUUUACAUUAUAAUUAUAUUUAAUUGAAUUUAAAUAUAAAAAUUUAAUUUAUUUAUUUGUUAUGUUGGGGAGACAUGAAUAGAAUUAAUUUCAUCUGCUUAAAAUUUUUAAACAAAAAUUUAUGAGAUAAAGAUCCUUAAUAAAGAUUGAAAGAUUAAGUUACUUUAGGGAUAACAGCGUUAUUUCUUUAGAGAGUUCUUAUCGAAAAAGAAGAUUGCGACCUCGAUGUUGAAUUAAAAUACCUGUAUAAUGAAGGAGUUAUAUUAGGAGGUCUGUUCGACCUUUAAAAUUUUACAUGAUUUGAGUUCAAACCGGUGUGAG
rnacentral:rRNA from 1 species